UACGGAGGAUGCAAGCGUUAUCCGGAAUGAUUGGGCGUAAAGCGUCCGCAGGUGGCUAUGUAAGUCUGCUGUUAAAGAGUGAGGCUCAACCUCAUAAGAGCAGUGGAAACUACAUGGCUAGAGUGCGUUCGGGGCAGAGGGAAUUCCUGGUGUAGCGGUGAAAUGCGUAGAGAUCAGGAAGAACACCGGUGGCGAAAGCGCUCUGCUAGGCCGCAACUGACACUGAGGGACGAAAGCCAGGGGAGCAAACGGG
rnacentral:rRNA from 1 species